rnacentral:rRNA from 1 species
GCGACGCCGCUGUUGAGGGAUGACGGCCUUCGGGUUGUAAACCUCUUUCCCAGGGGCGAAGCGAAAGUGACGGUACCUGGAGAAGAAGCACCGGCCAACUACGUGCCAGCAGCCGCGGUAAUACGUAGGGUGCAAGCGUUAUCCGGAAUUAUUGGGCGUAAAGAGCUCGUAGGCGGUUUGUCGCGUCGGGAGUGAAAACACCGGGCUUAACUCGGUGCUUGCUUUCGAUACGGGCAGACUAGAGGUAUGCAGGGGAGAACGGAAUUCCUGGUGUAGCGGUGAAAUGCGCAGAUAUCAGGAGGAACACCGGUGGCGAAGGCGGUUCUCUGGGCAUUACCUGACGCUGAGGAGCGAAAGUGUGGGGAGCGAACAGGAUUAGAUACCCUGGUAGUCCACACCGUAAACGUUGGGCGCUAGGUGUGGGAUCCAUUCCACGGGUUCCGUGCCGCAGCUAACGCAUUAAGCGCCCCGCCUGGGGAGUACGGCCGCAAGGCUAAAACUCAAAGGAAUUGACGG